rnacentral:lncRNA from 1 species
AGUUCUGAUGCUGAAAUCCGCAAAGUGCAGAAUUUCAGUGUUGAGUACCGGUACGGUACCGGACUAGUAUCGGUAUGAUACCGGACUAGUACCGGUAUCCUGUGUGCGAGCUUGCGGUCUGAGAGGCCAAGUAUCGGUAACCAAAUCGGGUAUCGGUACUCCAGCUGUCAUGUUGAGUUGGUAGGGGUAUUACGGUCUUUUUGUGUUAGUGGUUGUCCACACCACCAACUCUCCCUCGUAUUUAUCCACCUGAGGGAGAGUAGCUUGCUUAAUUAAGUUCAUCUCUCUCUUAAGUGUUAAUUGUGUGCUUGCUGGUGGCCACGGCUUGAGCUUGGAUUGACGUCGACGUUGUGCCGGAGAGCCAUUCGAGUGUAUGGACGUCGCGGUUGCGCUAUUGGAGGCCGGGCGAGAGCGUGAUUUCCUCUCCUUUCGACUUCUCGCCGUGGUUGGAUUAGCGUUUCGAGAUGGGUUGAAGUUUAUCGAAAUCGUCGGAAUACCUCACAAGUUUUUAUAGUGUCGACAUGUAUCAUUUGUGUAUUUUCUUUGCUAGUACUCAAAUUCAUGGAUUAGUGUUUAAAUCUGAAUUUGGAAUUAAGCUAGUAGUUUAAUUUUACAUGUUGAAUUUGGAAUUGACUUAGGAGAAAACAUAUAGACCCUACAAUGUCACUUUCUAAAAAUUACCAGAUUUAGUUUUAGGAGCUGUGGUUUGUUUGUAUCGUUGCUGUUAGUACACGAUGGAUACCCAGAUUAGUGUAGAAUGAGUUUACGCUUGUGCUGGGAUGCCGAGUUUAUUUUUACAGUAGUGUGUAGACUGUUCUGGACUGUCGGUUGCCGUUGCGAUAAACGGUGGACCCAGAUUUCUGUAUCUGCAUCAGAUUGUGCCGAGGGCACGUGAGUUUUAGUUGUCAGACCAGUUAGACCCAUUUGUUUUGAUUACAGCCUGUGAGAGCCUGAUUGAGCUAAGCAGAGACACGCUUGCAUACUCGGUUGGGUAGCGCCCACGAGUGCCACUUCGGAGUCGGACUUUGUACUUUUGCGUUGUUGUCGUAACAGUCCUGUUUGGACGGUGCUUUAGAACUGGCCACCUCAAUUGUGGUGUGCGGUAUAGCUCGGAGCAAGUGGGACGGGCCUGUUGGCAGUUCCUUGACAGUAUAGUCAUUGUUGCAGGGGAUGCAUAUCUACAAAUAGCUAGAGUUGGUUAGUGAUAGUAUAGGGUUUCUAGCUUUUCUUACUAUCUCUUGCAUAUCAUUUUGUAGACUUAGUGGGUAAGCCGUUGAGGUUGGUAGCGGUACCCACUGAGAACUAUUUUUUUUUGUAGUACUUCUCAUACCCAGUUGUUGCCCUUUUUCGCAGAGCCUUCUUCUGCGGCUGCUGCUGUCGCCGAUACUGAUCGUGGAAAGGGAGUCGCGAGUUAGAUCCCUUCCCUGGUUGCAGUUCUAGAGAAGUAUCAUCUACAGGUAGUUUUGGGUUUUGGUUCAUAUACAUACUUAUACUUGUUACUCGCUGGGGCGAGAGAUGUUGUAUCUUUGGGAGACUAUGUAUGUAUAGUGAACUUGAUUUUAUUUAUAUAUAUAUGUAGUUCUGUUAGCAGUUCUAUACUACUAGUUGUAGUGUUGUAUGAUUAUAGGUAUAGAUACAGCUAUCGCUUCGUAUAUAGAGAAAAUUUUUUUGUAUACGGCGGGUCUGUUUGUGUGCCCGGAGAAAUAUGGUAAUCCGGGACGUGGCNACAGAAGAAAUUUUUUUGUAUACGGCGGGUCUGUUGGCUUGCCCGGAGAAACGUGAUAAUCCGGGGCGUGACAUUUUUAUUGUUCAAUACUGCGGUCGUAUCGCGUAGAGAAGACCUCCCCUUAUUUCGGGAGUUGUGGGGCCCACAGUUUUUUUAGGAUUAAUUGCAUUGUGCUCCCCAAGCUUUCCAUAAUUUUUUUAAUUUUUUUUCCUAUUCUCUUUUUUUUUUUUGCAGUUAAGUUUUCAAAUCUCUUAAUUUCAUCGCGAUAAAAAUAGCAACCAGUUAAAAAAUGUUUUAGAAUUAACGAAAUUAUCAUGCAAUCGCCUAUUUAACUUUUUUUUGAAUGCUAAUUUUGAUCUCUAAAUUUUGCAUAUUUUUUAUUUUAAUUUUCAAAAUAUAUAUGAAUUGUCAACCCUAAAAAAGACCUUUUUUUAUUUUCGAGGGUUAUAAGGCCCACACAAUUUUUUAAGGAUUAAUUGCAUAUUGGUUCCUAACCAUUUCACUAUUUUUUAUUUUGGUUCCUAAUCUUUUUCUUUUUUUUUUUUUGCAAUUAAACUUUCAAAUCUCUCGAUUUUAUCGCAAUAAAAUGACACUAUUAAUUAAAAGAGGUUUUAGAAUUAACAUCAUUAUCAUGCCAUCGCCUAUUUAGUUUUCUUUUGCAUAUCAAUUUUGGUCUCUAAAAUUUGCAUAUUUUUUACUUUAGUCCCCAAAUAUAAAAAUUCAAAAUUUUAAAUUUUAAAUCUGGAAUUAAUCUUAAAAUUAAAAUUUUGAACUAAUUAGUAAUUAGAAUUUUGAAUUAUAAUUUGAAUUCAAAUUUUAAAUUUAAUUUUAAAUUGAAUCUAAAUUUUGAUUUCAAACUUAAAUUUUUUAAAUUUUGAUUUCAAAUUUAAAUUUUGUAAAUUUUGAUUUCAACUUUAAUUUUUUUUAAUUUUGAUUUUGAUAUUUGAAUUUGCAUUCAAAAUCAAAAUUUUAAUUUAAAGUGAUGUUAAUAGUUAUCAUAAUUUACUAUUAUAUUAUCUUCCCGCCGCAUCGCGUGGGCCCCUUAACUAGCUGAAAAUGAAUUUCAAAUUGAAAUAGACAUUCAUGUGAAAUAGAAAUCAUAGAAAAAUUACUUCUCCUUCAUUGUUUGUUUUCAUAACUGUGAAUUGAAGUUUUUUCAAUUUUAUUAUUAUUUGGCAGAAAGUAAAUGAUUAUUUUUUUUAUUUUUUGCUAGUAUUGUAGUGACCUCUGGUGUUUAGCGGUCUGAGAGACUUCAGCAUCGGUGGCAUGUAGACACGUCUGGUGGGUGUCGAGACAAGUCAGAGUCGUUUUGGCACGAAAUGGAUGCAAAAUGGACUCAGCACGACGCUAGAGUAGAGUUUUGACACCGAAAUCUGCAAAGUGCAGGAUUUUAGUAUUGAGUACCGGUACCUGGGGAGAAGUACCGGUACCCGAGUGAGAUUGUAGAACGGGAUACUCUCUGGUUUGCGCAUGUUUAAUGCUGAGUACCAGUAUCUAUUGUUGAGUACCGGUAUUGAGCUCAGGUACCGGUACUACAUUGGCUGGUAUCAGUACCCAGCGUCCGAGAUUGCAGUUUGAGGGGCCGAGUACCGGGAUUCAAGUUGGGUACUGGUACUCAAGGUGAAAAAGUGAGUU